UUGCAAGAAAAAGAACUUAGGAGGCCAAUAACUGAAGGUUGAGGCAUUCAAGGCUACAUACACAAGGCUGACCUAUAAUCGAUAUCUGCAAUGCAUAGAGGAUUUUCGUCAAACUCUUCUAGAAGAUAGGCGAGACAUACCACUUAGCCAAGAGCAGAAUGAGAGAAUGCAUUCAGUUGGUGGCCCAAGUAGGUUAGGGAAAGGCAAAGACAUAUACAGUAUGCAGGAAUGAAGGCCCAAUUCGAUGCAUUACUUAAAUCGGGGGAUUCUCCCUUGUCCCGAUGAUGUAGUGCGCCCUCCUCGACCUCCACAGUCUCUACCUAUUUCACAUGGAGUAUAUGGUCAAUACAGAGAUGUGACUAAGGAGCCCAGUAGUGAUGAAGAUGAUAAGGAUUACUAUGUGGACAAUACACCACCGCGUUGUUAGAGUUGAAUGUUGUCUAGAUUAUUCAAACUAUAUACUUCAUGGUGGUUUAUUUGAAUUCUUAGGAGUUUUUGAAUGCAUUAAAACUUUAAUGUAGUAUGAACAAUAGUAUUGUUAAAUAACUUAUGACUUUUAUAUUUUGUUCGUUCAAUAUCAAGGUAUUUAAAUUUUAUUUUCA